AUCGGCCCCUCUAGGCAGGGUGCGCAGUGGUGAUCAGAUCCCACCAGGAAGGCAGCGUAACCGCACGGCUCCAGCCUCCCAAGCUGCGGGCACCGCAGAUCUUGGUGGAACUUAGUCUUUCAUGUCUGCCUGAUCCCAGAGCGUCACAGCUUUAGCCGUUUUGCUGUGUUUGCUCUUUAAACAGGGUUUUACUGUGUAGCCCAGGGUGGCCCCCAACAGGAGUGAUCCAAUUUCCGUUCCUAUGUAGGUUGGCAGUAUCUGUGGAAGGAACAAAGCCCAACUCAGUUGAUGCAGAAUUCUACUGCCAGGAUCGAGGUGGAGGACGGAAUGCCAAUAGUCAACUAGGCCUGCUGUGAUGAUCCUGGGCCGAUUCAGUAGUCGGAGAUGGCAGUUGUCUGACCUAGAAGACAGUUGCGUUUGUGAGAGCGUGUGAAUGGACGCCAGAGGUCAGUGUUGGGUGCUCUCCUCUGGAGCUGUUCUUUAGUUUUAUUUUUGACACAAGGUCUCUCACUGGCGCCUGGGAAUGGCUGGUUAAGGUCGGCUGACUGACCAGCAAGCCCCAGGGAUCCACCAGUCCCCACCACCCCAGCCCUAGAAUUAUGAGCAUGCACCAUCACGCUCAGGUUUUAUGUGGUUGCUAGGGAUUGAACUCAGGUCCUCAAGCCUGUGUGGCAAGCACUUUACCGACUGAGCCGGCUAACCAAAGGAACACGAUUGCACACCACACUUGGCGAACAUCUCUGUUUCUGUUUCUGUGUCUGAGGAUAAAUUCCCACGUGGUAGGUGACAUCAGCGUUUUUCCUUGCCUCUAUGUUACAGAGUAGGAUAAAAAGUGUCCCCUUAGACUCAUGUCGAAGGCUUUCUCUCCAGCUGGUGUCCCUCCUCAAUUUGGUAUUUAAUCACAUCUAUGAGGACAGUUGUUCUAGCUUUUGAGAAGUAGUUAUGAAAGUGGGGACUGGCUAAAGUUAGUGAGUCUUUGGAGGCAGGCCUAUGAGGUAUCUUGUCCUGUAUACUCUCUCAGCUUUCUGGCUACCAUGAAGUAAACAGCCCUGUACCAACAGCCCCUCCUGCUGUUCUACUUGGCUGGGAGCCAGAAGCCGCAGGUCCACAGACUGAAACUGUGCAUUGUAAUGAAUCAAUCUCCCUCCCUCACUCAAGAUUGAUUGAUUGAUCUUGUGUCUGAGUGUUCUAUCUGCAUAUACACCUGCAUGCCAAAAGAUGGCAUCAGAUCCCCUUAUAGGUGGUUGUGGUUGCUAGGACUUGAACUCAGGACCUCUGGAAAAACAGCCAGUGCUCUCAAUUGCUGAGCCAUCUCUCCAGCCCUGAAUUUCUCUCUUUAAAUUAUUUCUUUCAUGAAUCUGUCACAAUGGCAAUAAAAACCAACAUACCUUAUUUUAAAAAUUGUUUUCAAGCUUAAAGGAUUCCUUCUUACAAGUAGAUUUGUAUCUUUCUCUUAUUAUUGCUUCCUUUCUAUAUUAGAUUACUUAAUCCACCUAGGAAUUAGUUGGCAAACACAGGGAUUUAAAAUAUAACUUUAUUACUCCUAAGAAUAAUUAGGCAAUUAUACUAGCAGUAAGAUUCUCCCUCUCUUUAGGAAUUUUUGAUAUCCCCCUCAUUAUAGCUCUAAAUUUUAAUAUAUGCAUUAAAUUCUAUUUCCAAGUUAUCACUCUUUCUCCCUUGGGCUAUUUUUGUACUUAUAGGAGAAAGUUCAUAAUUUUAGUUUUAAAUAUUUAUAAUAAAAAAGGAAGAAAAAUUAUCUGCACCGAUACCCUUAUAUUUGGGAAGCUAAGAGACAAGUAUUGAUUGAGCCCACGAGUUAGAUCCAGCCUAAGCAACAUAAGACCUUGUCUCAUUUUUUAAAUUAUCUGCAGAGAAAGACUUUUUGAGAGUUAUUAAUACCACAGACAGCAUGGAGGAAGUCUGGGGAGAGAAAAGCCUUCAGUUCCCACAGGUGAAGUGGGUUUCUGCUCCUCUUCUCCUCUCGCCUUGCAUCCCAGGGGGCUGGGAUUAUGUUCUAAGCCACCGAGACCUGACAACUCGCUCUAUUGGAUGUGUUUCCUCCUAAAUGUCAUUUUCCACAUUUUAAUGAGAAAAUCUGAUAAAGGUGGCAUACUUUUAGCAAAAUGCAAACUAACCAUGUAGCCUUGAAAAAGAGAUUAUGAAAUCAACAACCAAAGAAGAAAUGAUUUGUGAACACUUACCAGGUCGUGGUGACUCCUCUCAACCCAGACCAUGAUAAUAGCAUGUCCAUAAAGGACUUACUAAGUCCAGAGACACCAAAAUGCUAUGAAUGAACUGAUGUCUGCAGUUAGAAUGGGCUGGAGCAAAGCUGCACAGGGUGGGGGAGGGGACUGUUAAGAUAGACUGCAUCCAACGGAAUGAUACGGAAUUGAGUGUGAUACAAGAGGAAUCACACAUACACACACACACGCGCACACACACACACACACACACAAAUAUAUAUGAAAUUUGUCACAAUAAAAUAUAUUUUUUAAACUAUCAAAAAUGUAGGGAUGUAACCCAGAGGUAGAGUGCUUGUCUAACAUAUAUUAGGCCAUGGGUUUAGUCUACAGGACUGCAAAUCCAUAAAACAAAUGCUGAAUGUGGUAAUGUUAAUUAAUCUCAGGACACCAAAGGGCAAGCCACGUUCCCUAGACAGACCCUCUUCCCAUAGGGAGAGCUGGGAAGGUGUUGGGGAGGAAAGUAGAGAAAGAAUUCCAUUUGAAAAGUAUUUUCUGUGUAUCGAACCCUUCCUCCCCCACUCCCAUCUCCAUGAACACCCUGAGAUUCGUGAAAGUUCUUGGAGUUUUCUUGAACUAAAACAGUUUCUAUCUGAUUUAUCCAAGGACCCAUAGAGUCCUGGCUACUAUAACAAGGAGGGUGAUUAGCCUCCCCCUAGCCACAGAUCAGCAUCCUCACAGUUGUUACUGAGCCUUCUGGUCCUGAGGUGCUCAGAGCCUGUCAAUUGCUGGGACAGAAAUGGCCCUUGGUUUAUAAGACUAUAUGCUAUAUUUUGCUUGCUGACCAAGACCAGUCGUUUAGGUAUCUUGACAUCACCCUAAGCUCUGCAUGAUCUGCAUCUGUCCUCGAUUUUACAUCAUGGUUUCACCAUUGAUUUUUAAAUGUCUGACAUCCAAAGAGGCCAGAAUAGGGAAUUGGACCCCCUGAAGGAGAGUUACAGACAGCUAUGAGCUGCUGUGCGAGGGCAGGAAGUUGAACACCGGGCCUCUGCAGAAGCAGCCAGUGCUCUCGAUGAUCAAUUGCUGAACCAACUCUCCAGCUGCGUUAUCAGUUUUAACGAUCCUGGGAAAGCAUGGCCUCAUUCUGGCAUCUCACAGGUAUUUGUCUUAAAUGUUUUUAUGUUUUUAUUCCCUCUGGAUUGGCAUCUGAGUGGAGCUGCCUCAGAUCCAUUGCACUGGGGACGAGAGACAUAUCAACACCACGUCUUUCCGUGGCUACCCUGGCUAGCAUCCCAUUGCCUUCCUUGGUCUUAAUCAACUCUAACCAGCCUGGACAGCCUCCUGUCAGCCGGCCUGGGACAGACAGUCAGAGAGCACAGCGUGGAAGACCAACGGGCCAGAGGCACACCUGUGUUGUUGGAGGUCCAGCCCAGGAGACAGAAAGGGAAAAGGAAAGAAAGGAUUUCUGCAAGACACUGGUGAUUCCUGAGAUUCUUCAUUUUACUGGAAAAGGGAAAAGAGAACACGUGCCAAGCGAAGACAUAUGAGGCACAGUGGGGUUGCUUUCUUUUCAUGUGUGUGGUGUGUGUGUGUGUGUGUGUGUGUGUGUGUGUGUGUGUGUGCAUGUGGGAGGCAUAUGGAGGGUGUGGGGGGCAUGAGUGUGUAGGUAUGUGCGCGUGUGUGUGCAUGUGUGCACGUGUGUGAGCGUGUGUGCAUGUGGGGGGCAUGUGUGUAUGCAUGUGUGGGGAUGUGAGGGAGCAUGAAUAUGUAGGCAUGUGUGCAUGUGUGUGAGUGUAUGCGUGAGUGAGAGAAAGAGAUUUUACUGCAUACUCUUUUUUUAGUUUUUUAUUUUAUUGUAGAGAAUAUGUAUAUGUAUGGGUAUUUUGCCUACAUGCAUAUCCAUGAACCAUAUGAGUGCCUAAUGCCCAAGGAUACCAAGAAAGGGUGCUGGUAUUGAAUGGAGUUACAGAUGGUUGUGAGCCGCCAUGUGGGUACUCUGUGUGUGUGUGUGUGUAUGUGUGUGUGUCUGUACAUGUACUCGUGCACACCACAUGUGAGUACAGUGCCUGUGGAGGCCAGAUCCACUGGAGCUGGAGCUACAGGCAAUUAUGAGUUGCCAUAUAUGGACUCUGGCAAGGAGUCCUCUGCAAGAGCAACAAGCACCCUCAGCUUCUGAACACCUCUCCCACCCCGGGAGUCUUCUAAUAUACUGUUUAGACUUUUGUUUUCUGUAACUGUGGAAGCAGGAUUGGCCUUGUCACAUUUCUGGAUCUGCUCUGACUUUGUCCUGCUUUGUUGAUUGGAUCUCUUGCUUCUUUUAGAUUUCUCUAAUGAUUGGACGUGAUGUGUUCCACCAGCUCACGUGUGAAAUCUCAGCCACCAGCAGUGCCAUUGGUUUUGGAGCUUGUAGAACUUGUGAGAGGUGGCACCAGCCUGGAGGAAGCUGAACAAUGUGGAAUGCCCUUGAGGCUUAUAGUCUGGCCUCACUUUCUGUCCCAUAUCUGCUUCCUUUUUUUUUUUUUUUUUCUUUUUGGAGCUGGGGACCGAACCCAGGGCCUUGCGGUUGCUAGGCAAGCGCUCUACCACUGAGCUAAAUCCCCAACCCCCCCAUAUCUGCUUCCUAACCUGCCCAGAUGUUAGCCACCCUUGCCCCCCUGGCCAUGAGCUCCUUCUCCCAUGGUGCCUUCUCCACCAUGGUGGAUGGCACCAUUGAAACAUGAGCCCAGAUGGACCCUUUCUCCCUUCAGUUGGUUUUGGUGUAUGUUUAGUUGCAGCAGAGAGACAUCACUUCCUGUGCACUCCCCACAGUUAACAACAUGUAUUUCCCCAGACAGAGAGUCAGACCUACCUUCUCUCUCCACCCACAUAUCCUAAACUUUUCCAGAGUUUUGAAAAGCAGCAUACUUUCUUUUCUUUUCUUUUCUUUUUUUUUUUUUUGGUUCUUUUUUUUUCGGAGCUGGGGACCGAACCCAGGGCCUUGCGCUAAAUCCCCAACCCCCAUACUUUCUUUUCUAAACAUUAUUAUUUUCAUAUUUAAACAAUGAUUUACUAAUAAGUCCUGUAUGCUUCUAUUUUUUAAAGCCUAUUUUAAUUAGUAUACUUCAGUAUUUUACCUCCCUUCUAGCCCAUCACCCACCAGAGGUAGUAGAAAGAAAGGUUAAUCCAAGAGAGGACUUAUACCUGUUUAGAAAUAGUUUUAUUUUAAUUUUUAAUUAUUAAUUAUUAAUUUAAUUUUUAUUUAUUUAUUUAAUGUGCUCUGUCUGCAUGUACACCUGGAAGCCAGAAGAGGGCAUCAGAACUCAAUACAGGUGGUUGUGAGCCACCAUGUGGGUGUGGGAAUUGAACUCCGGACCUCUGAAAGAGCAGUCAGUGCUCUUAACCAUUGAGCCAUCUCUCCAGCCCUAGAAAUAGUUUUUUUUUUGGGGGGUGGGGCAAAUCCAAUCCAUGUUGUCAGGAUUUGAGCACUUUAGCUUACGUGAAUCAGCAGCCAUAGUUCAGUCCACUCACAAACACCGCUCCUGAGUCAGCAAUGGCAGACGACCUAAAACACGAGGUUCUCCCAACUGGCUCAUUCGUGGAAGCGACAGGAAAGACGAGAAGCCACUGGAACACCACCAAAAGUGUUUUGGUGCAUUUCUCUCUACAAAGUCUUGACAGACAAUAACCAGUCAAGAGCAGCAAAGUGAACCGAUAUCACACAGCGUCAUCCACUGUCUGUCUGGUUAUAUUUAUACAUUUUCAAAUGUGUUCUCUCAAGUGUCUGCUCCAGCAAAACACCACAUGCCCUUUUUCAGGCCACUUCCAGAAAAAUGCUAUGUGUAUCCUCAGUAAAACAUCCUCUCAUAAGACAGUUUUCAAAAACAAAACAAAACAAAAAAACUAGAUUUUUUUUUAUCGUGUCAAGCCAGGAGAGGAAGAGAGGGAAAGAGAGAGAGAGAGAGAGAGAGAGAGAGAGAGAGAGAGAGAGAGAGAGAGAGGAAGAGCGGAAGGAAGAGUGAGAGAACAAAACUAGAUCUUAAAAAAAACCAAAACUUUUCAUUUCAAAGUACUUUGGAUUUCUUAAUUUUAUUAACUGUGUGUGUGUUUGGUUUAAGUUUUACUGGUCGGGGGCUGGGAAGAUGGUUCAUCAGUUGUGGGCCCUGGAUGCUCUUGCAGGGGACCUGGGUUCAGUUCCCAGCACUGACAGUGGCUCAUGACAGCCGGUAAACUCCAAUUCCAGGAGGUCUGGUGCCCUCUUCUGACCUCUUCAGGUACUGCACUAGUGCAGGUAUCUCUGAUUUUCACCAGUGUGGUUCACAGUUAGAGAAUGGUGAUUGGUGCUUUGUUUUUGAGACAGAGUUGCAUAUAACCCAGGCUGGUCUUGAACUUGUUAUAUAGCUAAGCAUAGCCUUGGACUCCUGAUCCUCCUUCCUCUCCCUCCCAGGAACUCUGUCCUGGCUAGUUUUGUUGUUUACUUUACCUCUUGAGAAUAGAAAUCUGUAUACCUUCUGGAGUUCUACUUGGGAGAAUUUUAGUCUCUUUUAAAAAUACAUCAUAUUAGUGUGUGUGCAUAUAUUUGUGCACACGCUUUGUGUGGAGGGGCGGGGAGAAACAGAGACAGAGAGAGACAGAGUCAGAGGGCAACUUGCAAGAGAUGUUUCUCUCCUUUCACUACGUGGGUCUCAGGGACCAAACUCAGGUCUUCAGGCCUGGAAGGAAGCUUCUUUACCCACUGAAUCAUUUCUCAAGUAGCCCAGACUGACCUUGAGCUCACUGAGUCCUCCUGUCUCUGCCUCCACAGAGCCAGGAUUAGGGGAUGAAGGCGUUUAGAUGGAAACCCAAGAUUGAGUCAAUAUUACGGAGAAGAUCCACCUCUUAGCAGCAUCCCAGGACACUUGGAUAGCCUGUCCUUGGUUCUCAGCUUUUAUCACCAACUGCGACCUCUUCUGUGGAUAGGACAUACCCUGCAGUCUUAUCACUUUCUGAAAGGCAUGGAUUGCGCCCUGUUCCUGAAGUUCUGAAGUUAUCGCUACAGCUAACCGGUUUGUCCUUCGCUUUCUGCUGAGAAAGCAUGCCCUGCGUGAAAUGAUGCAGUUUAAAUAAACUAAGUUUCCCUAGUCACA